rnacentral:rRNA from 1 species
AUUGAACGCUGGCGGCAGGCCUAACACAUGCAAGUCGAACGGUAACAGGAAGAAGCUUGCUUCUUUGCUGACGAGUGGCGGACGGGUGAGUAAUGUCUGGGAAAUUGCCUGAUGGAGGGGGAUAACUACUGGAAACGGUAGCUAAUACCGCAAAACGUCGCAAGAACAAAAAUGGGGACCUUCGGGCCUCUUGCCAUCGGAUGUGCCCAGAUGGGAUUAGCUAGUAGGUGGGGUAACGGCUCACCUAGGCGACGAUCCCUGGCUGGUCUGAGAGGAUGACCGGCCACACUGGAACUGAGACACGGUCCAGACUCCUACGGGAGGCAGCAGUGGGGAAUAUUGCACAAUGGGCGCAAGCCUGAUGCAGCCAUGCCGCGUGUAUGAAGAAGGCCUUCGGGUUGUAAAGUACUUUCAGCGGGGAGGAAGGGAGUAAAGUUAAUACCUUUGCUCAUUGACGUUACCCGCAGAAGAAGCACCGGCUAACUCCGUG